rnacentral:rRNA from 1 species
AAUUUUGGACAAUGGGGGCAACCCUGAUCCAGCCAUCCCGCGUGUGCGAUGAAGGCCUUCGGGUUGUAAAGCACUUUUGGCAGGGAAGUAAAGCCCCGGGUUAAUACCCUGCGGUUCUGACGGUACCUGCAGCAUAAGCACCCGCUAACUACGUGCCAGCCGCCGCGGUAAUACGUAGGGGGCAAGGGUUAAUCGGAAUUACUGGGCGUAAAGCGUGCGCAGGCGGUUCGGAAAGAAGGAUGUGAAAUCCCGGGGCUUAACCUCGGAACUGCAUUCUUAACUGCCGGGCUAGAGUAUGUCAGAGGGGGGUAGAAUUCCGCGUGUAGCAGUGAAAUGCGUAGAGAUGCGGAGGAAUACCGAUGGCGAAGGCAGCCCCCUGGGAUAAUACUGACGCUCAUGCACGAAAGCGUGGGGAGCAAAC